GAGCUCGAGCUGAACGCAUCGUAAACAGCAAAACGAAAUAAAUUUACAAAUAUUUUUGAUUAAGUGAACUUAAUACACUACAAUCCAACAUGUCUGACGCUCCAGCAGCAGCAUCAUCCACUAGCAAGUCAGGAGCAGUGCAGUUCACACCAAAUGCCUGGUUGACUGGAGUAGCAGUCGCUUUUUAUUCGACUCGGGUCUUGUGGGCGAAGUUGCGCGAAAUGGGCGUGAUUCCGUCGCUGGGUAGAGGCAAGCAAGAUGCCGGCAUGGGCGAAAAUGAUGCACUGUCCCAAGAUGCUGUUGAGGAGAUGAUUCAAGUGGGACUGUUGCCCGAGGCUGAAGCGACAGGACAGCUUUUGCCCAUGGACCCUGUAGCGCAGGGAACUGAUUGUCUACGUUUGUAGGCGGCAGUAGAACUAUACAAAAAAAAGCUCGUUCAAUUUUUUGUUUGCAUACCUUUUACAAUAAGAGAGUAAAUCCGAAAGACGGAUUCAAGGAUACAAACAACAAAUUACUUUAAGAAACCGUUCCUCACCACACACCAAGUACCGAAUUAGCGCAAUUCAAGAGAAAGAGAGAGAGAGACAUUGUAGGACGACACUGCAAUGCCAUUAAAGGUAGAAAAAAGGUUUGGAUUAUUUACAUUCGCAAAUUUUCGUUUUACCAUCAAAGAGAACAACACCUUAAAAAUGAAAAAACAAUAUUGAAGAGGAAUCAAAACAAACGAUAGAUAAAACGGACACGAAACAAAUUGUAUUACCAUUGAUAGUAUGGCUAUGCAAUAACACAAUGGCUAGGGUUAUGCCUCCUACUAUAGUUAAACCAAAAUUUCUGCAUCAAAAUUUGUUGUGAUGAAGCUUUUGAUCUGAUAUUUGUUUAAAUAAAUGAAUAGUUAUAUUUCGGCAAA